rnacentral:rRNA from 1 species
GGCGAUCAGAUACCGCCCUAGUUCUGACCGUAAACGAUGCCAACUAGCGAUCCGCCAGUCGACUCAUCGCUCUGGUGGGGAGCUUCCCGGAAACGAAAGUCUUCCGGUUCCGGGGGAAGUAUGGUUGCAAAGCUGAAACUUAAAGGAAUUGACGGAAGGGCACCACCAGGAGUGGAGCCUGCGGCUUAAUUUGACUCAACACGGGGAAACUCACCCGGCCCGGACACCGUAAGGAUUGACAGAUUGAUAGCUUUUUCAUGAUUCGGUGGAUGGUGGUGCAUGGCCGUUCUUAGUUCGUGGAGCGAUUUGUCUGGUUUAUUCCGAUAACGAGCGAGACUCUGGCCUACUAAAUAGUUGACGCAUUGCCACUGUGCGCACAACUUCUUAGAGGGAUUUUCGGUGUUUUCAACCGCACGAAAUUGAGCAAUAACAGGUCUGUGAUGCCCUUAGAUGUCCGGGGCUGCGCGCGCGCUACACUGGCAAACGCAACGUGCCUGUCCUGCCCCGAAAGGAGCGGGUAAACCCCUGAAAUUUUGCCGUGAUUGGGAUCGGACAUUGCAACUAUUGUCCGUGAACGAGGAAUUCCUUGUAGGGGCGAGUCAUCAACUCGUCCCGAAUACGUCCCUGCC